GUGGGUGUAGCUCAGUUGGCAGAGCGCAAGAAUGUGGCUCUUGAGGUCGCGGGUUCAAAUCCCGUCACUCACCCCA
rnacentral:tRNA from 1 species